CCUACGGGUGGCAGCAGUGAGGAAUAUUGGUCAAUGGGCGCGAGCCUGAACCAGCCAAGUCGCGUGAGGGAAGACGGUCCUAUGGAUUGUAAACCUCUUUUGUCGGGGAGCAAAAGACGCCACGCGUGGCGUUCCGAGAGUACCCGAAGAAAAAGCAUCGGCUAACUCCGUGCCAGCAGCCGCGGUAAGACGGAGGAUGCGAGCGUUAUCCGGAUUUAUUGGGGUGAAGGGGUGCGCAGGCGGAAGAUCAAGGCAGCGGUAAAAUUGAGAGGCUCAACCUCUUCGAGCCGUUGAAACUGGUUGUCUUGAGUGAGUGAGAAGUAUGAGGAAUGCGGGGUGUAGCGGUGAAAUGCAUAGAUAUCACGCAGAACUCCGAUUGCGAAGGCAGCAUACCGGCGCUCAACUGACGCUCAUGCACGAAAGUGUGGGUAUCGAACAGGAUUAGAUACCCCUGUAGUC
rnacentral:rRNA from 1 species